rnacentral:rRNA from 1 species
UACGAGGGGGGCAAGCGUUGUUCGGAAUUAUUGGGCGUAAAGGGUGCGUAGGCGGUCUGACAAGUCUGAUCGUGAAAUCGUAUGGGCUCAACCCAUAGUCUGCAUCGGAAACUGUCGGGCUUGAGUAUGGGAGAGGUGAGUGGAAUUUCCGGUGUAGCGGUGAAAUGCGUAGAUAUCAGGAGGAACACCGGUGGCGAAGGCGGGUCUCUGGGCCGAUGAUUGACGCUGGAGGAGCGAAAGCGUGGGGAGCGAACAGG